UUCCGGUAGGGGAUAUGAAGAAAGAGAGGACGGCAUCGCAAGAAAGACACGCACCGACUCCCCUACACACGCACACACAGCAGCGUCAAGAGCAUCUUGACCCUCCGCACAGGAACGAUUCACAGGAGGUGGUGUGGGGAUACUUGUGCACAUUCUGCUUUCCACCCCUCUCGUCCCCCUCUCGCAGGUGAGAGGGCGAGCGUGUGAACGAUAGACAUACCCACCCCUCCCCCUCACCCGCACCUCCCUCCCUCCUCAUACCGUUCACAUAAACACGCGCACCAACGUACAUAAAUUUAUAGCUGCUUGCCUCGCUUCCCCUCUCUGCAUUUGCCGUCUGUCUCCCUUCUGUGGUGUUCGUUUCCUUGCCUCGAUCUUGGUGGUUGUUGCUGUUCCCCUUUGCGCGUUUUAUUUUGCCUGUGUUCUCCUCCUCCUCUUCCUCCGCCUGUGGACUUCCUCUUCCCACCCCCUCCUCCUCUCUCACUCUCAGUAGUUUGUAUGCGCGCCACCGCUACGUAGACGAAACCCGUGGCUUUUUAUCUCCAUCAGCCGCCGUCAUUGCCUGCGCAUCGCCUUCUUCCCAUUUUUGCCUCAUCUUUUUUUUUUCCGCAGGGGCGCGGCGUCACCCAAGGUGCAUUCGAAGAGAUUCUCAAAAGGCGCUCUCCCCCCGGCCCACGUCCCUUCGCUCAUCGCAAUAUCAAGUGCUUAUCAGCAUAAUCACACACACACACACACGCGGACAGACCAAAACGACGAAACACCUGCCCGCUCAGCGCUAAGACGCUCGGUUUUUCUUUUAUUUUCCCCUUGUUCUUGAACCCCCCCUUUUCCAAGGAACAGCGAAGAUCUGCUUCGUGUGUGCGUGACGACGUGGACGGGAGAAGGCGCCGACGUGCCGUCUGAACACAGGCAGACAGGCAAGACGGAGAGAGAGGGACGCAGUUUGUGGAGGUGAGGAAAAGGGUGUCUGUACACCCCCUUGUUGUCGCCAUCUUCGUAAAACAGCGGCUCCGGGACUCGCUUUCUUCGCUUCUUCGUUGCUGCGUAGUUCUCUGUUGUCAUUGUUCGCUCUUUUUUUCUUCAACUCUGCACGUGUGCCUGUGCUACAUGGCCAUCCAGCGUGCCAACCGCAGCACCCGCAUCAGAAGUCAAAGAGAUAUUCACAAGCAACCCCCUCCCUCCCUCUCUCCCUCCAGCACCUCUUGGCUUGCUCCAGCCCUUCGAGAAAAGAGAGGAGCACACAUAACGACGCCACGUUGUCGCUCUCUGCCGCUCGUCAUUUUGUAGUUGGGGUGUGCACUCUUCUCACGUUCUCCUGGUUCUUGUCUGCUUGCCGUCUGGCCUUGUUCGUUUUUUUUUUGGUGCUUCCACCACCCCACGCAUCCGCACCCUCGAUUUUCCUCGGCCGCUGUUUCUCUUUCUCCGUGUGUGUGUGCGUGUGUGCGUGUCGGUGCUCGGUGUUCGGUGUUCCGUGCGCCGCCUUCGUUGUGUACCACUACCUCCUCUCUUCCUCCACUGCUCUCCCUCGUUCUCUUUAUUUUCAGUCUUCUUCGCCUUUUUGACGUUUUCGGUGUUGUGUGCCUGUCGCUACCCGCGUGGGUGUGUCUUCGGGUGCAUCCGUGACUUUGCCGCGAGAGGGCAGUCCCCGCGCCCCCUCCCUUCUCUCCUACACGUCUUCACCCACACGCACGCCAACAGACGUACAGCGGACUCGGCUCUUCCAUCGCUGUGGGAGUGCGACAAUGCGGCUCUCAUCAUUGUGUCAUGAUACUCAAGGAGCAGCACAGAGAGGCGUCGGUGGCCGCGGUCGUUCCCAAGGAAGACGGACCUCAGUGCGCCCAACUGCGUCGUAUGUGGGGAGAGGCAGAGCAAGCCGGCGGUCCGCCACGACAGCGCCGCGUCUGCAGCCGGCUUUGCAUCGUGAGGUGCCCGCUUCCUCUGCUUCGCCUUCGAAGCCGAUCAGCACCACCCCCACAGGCACGCAGGGGCUGCCGUCGCAGGACCCUGUCUCAGACGCUGAGGAUGCAGUGGUGCCGAUUGCUUUGUUGACAUCGGCCUCGCUGGCGCAGUCAUGUGUUCAGUCGGAAGGCCACGUCAUGGCUUCCCGGCCGCCGCCGCCGUCGGGGAGAAGCGGCAACUCGCUCGACGGCGACUCAACGGCCGUGUCCACCAUUGUCUCCGACUCCGUCGCGCAACAACGUCCUCUUGUGGCGUCAGCGAUCGUCAUGCCGGGUAGUAGUGCCCCCUGGUCCGUUUCUGGGCGUUGUCCGUCUGUGCAGUCGUUCCAGAGCCGUGCCACGAGCCACUCGACGACCAUGGCGAGGGGUCGCACCGGUUCCUUGUCUUCACAGCCCGCUGCUGCCCUCUCGUCGCCGAGGUUGUCGAGCUUCUCUCAUCUCCGUCCGCUUCCGUCGAGCAAGGAGGCGGAUUACCUCAACUUAGCCCAUCAGCGCAGCUUUAUUGGACGCUUCCGCUGUGCGACUCCAGUGGUGAUACGCACGCCAGCUGCCGCUACGUCGCAUGAACUUGCCGCACUGUCCACUAUCGACGGCUCCACGCCGUCGCACGUGCGCAACGGUAAAAUGCAUGAGGAGACGGCAGCGGCAUCGGUGUGCGUCGCCGCCGCUGCUGACGGGUGCGCGCAAGGUGUCGAGACCGAGGCGCAGCAUGCCGUUGACGUGCCCUCUCUUCACGCCGUGGCGGCCGGUCAUCCUUCCUCGCUCACUGCACCGGGUAGGUCUCCGCGGCAAUUGGGGCGCCGCGUGUCUGGCUCUGGGGCGUCGAUGGCCAGCAGUGGGACGGCGGGGCCCGGCGCUGGUCGGGGCCGACCUUUGUCGGUCCUCAACGGAGCGCGCCCGCGCGGUCUUGUGCCUUCUUCGUCGGCGUCUGCUCUCGUACGCUCGACAGGGGCGACGGCGUCUGCCGGCUUGCAGCGCCGAUCUUUCGCUGCCCACUGUGGCCUGCUCGCCGCGAACAUGGAGCCGCUGGUGAAAUCGGGUCUGCACACGUCUCUGUGGUUGGCUCAGCAGGAUGGCGGACUGGAGGUGCGUAGCAUGGCGAACCCCAAUCAAGUGCUGGCGAGUCUUCCGCGCCGCGACCCUCGAGCCGUCAUCACCUCCCUGACGGAAGUCUGCGGCAGCCGCGUCGUCGCCGGAUACACGGACGGUACGCUGUGCGUCUACGAUGCCGUCACGAUGAAGCUAACGGCGGAGCAUCGCGCACAUACGGCUGCCGUGACGUGUCUGCUCCACGUGCAAGGCGCCCCGCGCUUCUCCCUGCACACCGGUGCCGAUGCGGAGACGCACGGCAAGCAUGGGUCGACCCCCACACAGUCGCUCCUGCUCACAGGCUCACUCGACCGCUCCAUCGCGGUGUGGGAAGCCGCGAGCAUGUCUUACCUACACAAGCUGAAGGGCAAUCUGCGCAGCAUCGGCGCGCUUGCGGCGACCGCGACUGGCGGGUACGCUUUCAGCGGCUCUGACGACGGAACGCUGCGCAUGUGGGACGCGGUGCAAGGCGACCAGCUCGCUAUUACAAAGGAGGAGCGAGCGAAUGCCGUUAAGAGAGUCAGUGAGAUGGACGUGGCCGCAGCGGCGCCCCUGCUGCAGCGGCUGGUGGUGGCAUCGACAGCUGCCCCUGCUGCGGCGGGGCACGCGAGCAUCUCGGUAUCUUUCCAUGGGCUGCACAGAGGAGAGACAGAGGCAGCGACGGGUCGAGAGGUGCGCGCCGGCAAGUCUGCAGUGCCCUCGCCACGCGUCUUCCAGCGUCCGUUGCUGACCUCGGUGCCGGCGAGUACCAGCGGCUUCGCGGCUGUCGGCCCGCCUCGUCUUUCCACACCCCCAGCCGUCGCAGACGGUCGCCACCACCGCUUCCGGGAGGGCCACAGCGCGAUUAAGAAGAGCUCUCUAGGCAGACGCGCCGGUGCCCAUAUAGUGCCGGUUGCCAUGCGUGGCGCCCGUCUCCUGGCUAAAGCCGCUAACGGUGGCGGUCGUGUGCCAUCGCUGUCGGCGUCUCCCUUGAUGCCCUCAGUGGAGGUCGGGCCAUUUGAGCCGACGGAGACGGGCAUGACGUCGAGUGCGUAUCGUGAGGGCAGUGUGUUGGUGGACCCCGAGGGCGGCAUGUCACCGCUUCGCGGCGGCUUGGAGCAGAGUCCGAGUUGGAGGACAAAGACGACGAGAGGGCGAUGAUAGGCUCUGCUGCUGUAGCGGGCGGUCGCUACCGAGAUGCUGGCAGGAGAUCCUUUGCGACGUCGCGCACACCGCGCAGUCUCAAGCGCGGCUUAAAGAAGCGGGCGAAGGGCCUCCUAGCUAAGCGGGGUGCCGGCGUCGCCUCGUCCAACAGCGGAAGGGCGGCGACAAAGACGAAAGCGAAAAGCGCAUCCGCCGCCCCGGCCGCCGGUAUGUGGGCGAGGCACAAGAAAGGGGCACAGAAGAGGACUACGAAGAGUGCGACGUUGGAAGCCGAAUCGACACCGGUGUGCACGCGGUGGCUCGCGAGUUCGUUGGAGCAGCGACUGGAAUCGUGGCUGCGCCUGUACCAGCAACGCGUGCUGCUCUCGGCGGCAUCUAUGCAGCUUACGCAGCGUAUCUCUGCGGGGUACGACGCGGUCACCGCGUUCAACUGGCCCAUCGAGUGCGCACACACUGAGUGUGUGACUGCGCUCGCGGUGGUAGAGGACCGCCUGCUCGUGAGCGCCUCGCGCGACGCCACAGCGAAGGUGUUUGCGCUGCCUUCUGGCCAGUACGUUCGUGCAUUGGAUUCGUCGCGCCGCAUGCCGCUCUCGAGCGUGCUGUAUGACGCCAGCGUUGGCCGCCUCUACACCGCUUUCUUAGACGGCGGUCUCGCUGUGUACGACACCCACGGCACGGAGUUGCCGUUGCUCUCCCAGAUGCAGUCGCCGUACGCGAUUCUCUCUUCCACUUUUGUGCAGCUUCGCAUGACGCCGAUGCGGCGUUUCGUGUGGAUGGCCGUCGUGCGUGGAGAGGAGGCGCCGGGCACGUCACUGAACGGCAGCGUCGGCCUGUCGUCGGUUGUUAUGGGUGCUGCUCAGUUUGAUAGGACCACCAUGGCGCACGGCCCCAACCAAACCGCCACGAGCUAUCGCGUGGGCCAGCCGUCGCUGCGUGAGUUGAACGCCGCUGUCUCACUGCAGCCGCUCCAGCAGCAGCGGGCACGCAACCUUGCCAAGCAGGCGAGGCAAGCAGCAAAUGACAUGCUGGAGGAGAUGGAGUUGUCCGACAUGCGUCGCUGCGGGCUCGUACUGGAGCGUGAAUACGUGCGCCGGCAGUCGUACUGCGUCUUUGCGCGUUGGCGGCAGUGGGCCCAGCGCCGCGCGCUGCGCUCGGACUCUAAGGGCGCCAUUGCAGCCCGAGCGGAGAGCUGCGCGAUGACGCUGCUCGGUCGCUAUACGCAACGGUGGCUGAACUGGACGCGCGCGCGGAAGAGACAUCUGCAAGCGAGGUGUUGCGGAAGGUGCAGUUGCAGGCAAGCGAAGUGGUGCUGCUCGCCGUCUGCAGCGAGGUGCGUGAGGGACGCCGGCGCGUGUGGGCGUUGGUGGCCGAUGCCAUGGGGAGGCAACAGCAGAUCACUCGGCUCGCCUGUGCGUACAGCCGCUGGCGUGAGUUCCUUCGAGCCCGACAGGUGCGUCUGCGCCAGUGCGUGUCGUUCAACAAACUGCUCUUGUCGAUGAACGCCAGCUCCCACACCCCAGCCAGCUGCACCUUGGCCCAGUUGACGCGGAAAGCGACGCGGGUCGCAACCCAGUCAACAGCGCUGUGGCUUCUGACAGAGAAGACGCAAAGCAGUCAGGCGCACGCGCGCCGGCGCCGCUGCUUUGACCUGUGGCGCGUGUGCGCACGGCAGCGUCGGCGCGUUGCCGCCUCCGCAGCGGCGGACCGGGAAUGGGCUGUGGUGGAGCCGCUUUCGUCGUCGCUGGUUCAGCCGUGGAAGCUGCGCCGCCGCUACUUUGCGCUGUGGCAGAACUUUGCCCUGUAUGUAACGCGCAGCGAGCGACUUGCCAGUGAGCGCGACACACUGGGAGUGGAGUGGGCCACACUGCAGAAGACGUUGGAGAAACCGAUGUCGGUGCGAAAGCUUGAGGAGAAGCUGAGUGCUGCGGAGUCCUCCAUGGCUGCUGCGGGGGCAGAGGCGAAGCUCCUGGAGGCACGCCUAGAGACUGUGUUGAGUGAGGUGGCCGUGCUCCGUACAGAGGCGGUGUUGAACAUGCUCAUCGCCGGCUACCGCAUCCCGAAUGUGGUACAGGCAGCAACCCCGCUGCCCCCAUCCACGGCGUCUGCGGUGACGGAAGUGUCGUCCAUGGCCUCGCUGCGCCGCGGCUCGCUCGCGUCGUCGGCGUCGACAGGGUUGUCGAACGGCGGCGUUUUCAGUGGGGCGGUGGCCUGCAGCUACCCGCCGAGCAUCACAGAUGCCGACUGGACGGAGGAGGAACGCGCGCAGCGGCAGGAGGAGGAUAAAGUGCUGUUUGAAGUGAGUGCCGUGCUGCGCGCACUCAAGGGCAAAGCCAUGCAGUACGACCGCGAUGAUAAGCUGCUGUCCACCGCGCACACGCUCGCGCUAAGGCUGCCCAUCUACGAGCCUGCCCACCGCGCGCAGGCGAGCUUAGAGUCUAGUACAGGCCGACACUUGUGCCUCUUGGCCCAGCAGCCGCGGACGCCUCGCAUGCUGUCGGCGUGGUCUGUAUCAAACGCCAAGAGCGGCGGGUCGACUGCUGUGCCGGCGCUUUCCUCGUCAUCGCAGCAGCAGCAGCAGCAGAAACACCGGCCGAAUCGCUUUGCUGCUGGGUCUGCCGGCAGCGCAACACCUUCAUCAGCCACCGUUGCGCUGCCAACGACUUCGGCUACCGCGCGCAGCGUCGCCAGCGCGGCGCAGAUGUGGGCCGCCCAACCGGCGGAGGAGACGUACGCCUGCCUAGCAGACGCAUUCACGGCUGUGUACGCCAACCUGAGCGCGCUCUUGCGCGCCGCGGCGCUGGAGUGCGGUGCGCCGACGCGGAUGGUCGCUGGCACGACGGGGGCUACCACAGGAGACGAUUCGACGGCGCAUGUCGGUGCCUCGUGGAUCACGCAGGUGCCGCUUAAGCAGCGCCGUGUCAUGAUUGGCGAGGUACUGAAACUUGUGACGCUGUUCGACAGCUUCACGGCACACAACGACCUCCCUGUGGAGUGCGCAGGGAGCAUGUCGAAGCGUGGGAGCACCAACACCCGCGCCAUGCCGCUUUGCAGCUUGUGCAGUCGCGACACCGCUACUGCCUUGCUCGAGAACGCCUCGGUGCUGCUGGAGCUCGUUGACCCACACCUGUGGCCUCGCCAGAUCAAGCUGAACCACCUGCAAGACGCCUACGCCGCCGCGAUUGCGGAUUUGAACGCCGCCGUCUCCUCCGCGGGCUUCAGCGACGCCGCCCCGCACAGCAGCACCGUCAUGACUCUCAACAGCGCGGGUAGCGGCGAGCAGGGCGGCUCGCCGGCGCCGACGCCGCUAGUGAUGCGACCACCUGCGCUGCGCCUUUCCGAUGAGGUGCUGCAGGAAGCGAGGGCAGCAAUGCUGCAGCAUGACACGACAACGCUGGCCAUCACAAAUCCAUUCGGUCCACUGUCUGUUGAGCGACGGACGAACCGCUCUGCCUCGAGCGUGCAUAGUGGAUUGAUGCAGGCGACGCCGCUCAGUUCGGCGGACGGCUACGCACCUGCGCGCGUGCACAGCAGUGAAGAGCCGCUGAACACGUCGAAGAGUUUGGAGGGGGGGAACGCCACGCCGACGGCGGAGCCGCAGCACCUGCGGCACCGCAGCACCUCCCACCACUCAUGCCUCGGCGUGUCGACUUCACGCUCCUACACCCCGCGCACCGCAACACUGUCGGUGGCGGGGUCCAUGCUGAAUGGAAUGCUGGUGAAACCAUACCUUGGCUUCCGCGUCAACGUGAACCGCGACACGCAGACGCUGCGGCGCACGACGAUCAGCAUUCGCGAGGUGACACCGCAGUACGUUAACGCUGAGGGCGAGGACGUUGACGGGCCGGCGCAGGUAGCUGGUCUGCAGGUGGGCGACCAGCUCGUGCGUUUUGCCGGGUACGCUGUGACUGACCUCGCCGCCUUCAACGCGGUGGUGUCACGCCACGUGCACGCCGGUGCGGAGCUGCCGGUGGUGAUCCUGCGAAGCGGCGAGCAGCUCUGCAAGACGAUCGUGGUGGGGAGCCGCGCCGCUGCUGAUGCCUAGGCCUGAUGUCGAAGAAGCUGCUUCGAUGUACCGCAGAGUAGCAUUUCAGUGAAGAGAUGGACACCAUGAGUUGAGCUGCCUGCCGUCUUCUUUCACUCGCGGCUUCUCGGUUAUUGUGCACUCGUCAUGGGGAUUUCUCUAUGUGUGAGGGACUCUCUACGGGCUCACCUUUCCGUCGGUCUGAAUGUCUGUUGCACAUAGAACACUGUUGCGCUUCUUCGUUGUGCCUGCCGGUGCGUGUGUGUGUGUGUGUGUUUGUGUGCCUUUUCGAGUUCUUGCUUCCCUCCUCUCUCCUCUCGCCAGCUUACCUUGCCUGUGACAAGCCCGCUUGUGCCACUAGCUCCGCGACGGCACGACUCUGUGCGCGUCCAAGCUUCCGAUGCAGGGGAGAGGAGAAGCAGAGGCCGCUUUGCGGGAAUGGCCAGCGGGGGCCGCCCGCGUCUCCUCUCCCUCAUCCCCACCCAACAGCCACGGCUCCCUCCUCUGUCGUCUGCAAGUGUGUGUGUGUGUGUGUGUGCGUGUGCAUGCGUGUGAUUGUGUUUUUAUCCGGUAGACAUG
rnacentral:misc_RNA from 1 species